rnacentral:lncRNA from 1 species
GUUAUUGUGAAAAUACCUAGUCUAGAGGUGACAUAAAUCUGAUAGGAUACUUAAAAUUCUGAAGAUUGUUUAAACACACAAUCUAAAAAAUAAAGGCAACAGUAGUAUACCGCUGUUCAAAAUUCAUAAAUCGAUAGAGAAAAAACAAAUCCGAGUUACAAACUAAAACUGAGGGAAACGUAUCAAAUAUAAGAGAACUACGACACAACACCGAAAUGUAACACACACAGAAACGAACUACAGUAUAAUGUAACAAUGGCCAUUUUCCUGACUUGGUACAGGGCAUUUUAUGAAAAAAUGGUGGGUUGAACCUGGUUUUGUUGCAUGCCAAACCUCUUACUUUAAUGGCAGUGUUGAUUAUAACAUUAAAAUGACAACAUUACACGACAUGGUUACAAUAAAUAAACAGAAACAUGGGAGAAAAUAUAGGACAGAGAAACAAACGAAUAAUAGCCAUCAAAGUAACAGGUUAAAAAUAUUUUUAUACGCCAGACGCGCGCUACGUCCACAUAAAACUAUGCUCGGAUGUAAAAAGUUUGAAAGCCAAACUACAAAGUUGAAGAUUGCCGAGGACCAAAAGUUCCAAAAUGAUAUAAACUGAUGACUGUUGGAGGACGUGUUAUUCAACAACAAAAAUAGGCAUUCCCAUGGGAAUCAACUGUGCAAUUCUUGCCGACUUGUUCCUAUAUUACAUUCUGAUCUCCAAUUUAAAUUUG